UGGCGACGGGUGAGUAACGCGUGGAUAACCUGCCGUAUACUGGGGGAUAACACUUAGAAAUAGGUGCUAAUACCGCAUAAGCGCACAGUCUCGCAUGAGACGGUGUGAAAAACUCCGGUGGUAUACGAUGGAUCCGCGUCUGAUUAGCUUGUUGGCGGGGUAACAGCCCACCAAGGCGACGAUCAGUAGCCGGCCUGAGAGGGUGAACGGCCACAUUGGGACUGAGACACGGCCCAAACUCCUACGGAAGGCAGCAG
rnacentral:rRNA from 1 species